GAAGAGCAUGAUGGAGUAAAUUCUGUUUAUAUCAUUAUUUUGCCUCCCGACAACUCUUAAUGAUGAUUAAAAACCAAGUGACAUUAAUUGAUACUGGACACAAUCUGUGAUAUCAGUGAUUAAGUUGGAGUUAUGCAAGUGGAUCAUUUGCCACCAACCAGAAAAUAAGGAUUCCUUUCAAGUGGAUGUGGGAUAUGAAUAUUUUUUGGCACAAGACAGUAGUUCAAUUGGUAAAAAUUUCAUCAAUGGUGACUUUGGAGAAUGUCAUGUUGCAGGUGAAUGUCCUAACCAGGACAAUAUUCAUGCAUUUGAAAAAUCCAGCGUGAGAAACAUAGAAAGGUAAUGAAAUUGACUAAUUAUUACUAAGUUGCAUUUGUGGGACAAUGAAAAUUGAAUACGUUGCAUUUGUGGGAUGAUGAAAAAUUGAGCAUUGUUAACAAAAGCCCAAAUGUAAGUGUAAAAGCCAGAAGGCAUCUUGGGCAGCCUAUAAAGUGUUUUUAUCUUUUGCAAAGAGAGAGAGUGGCCAUAGCUGGAGAGGAAAUUCAGGAUCUGCUGUUUAGGGCCACUGAGCUGCAAAGAUGAUUGGAUGCUCAUAGAGGAAUUUUCUUAGGCUAAGGUCAGAGAUCUGCUUGGGAAAACUUGAGGCAUUAAAAUAUUGGAAGAGGACAUCUGGGUAAAUUUCCCCAAGGAUCUACAACUUGAGAGCCUAAAGAAUUGACCCACCAUUCUCUAUGAAGAGCUAGACAUUUUCUCAUGCAAGAAGAUACUUCAGAGGCC
rnacentral:lncRNA from 10 species